GCUGGGUGUGAUGGCACAUGCCUGUAAUCCCAGCGUCUCCAGAAGCUGAGACAGGAGGAUUGCUAGCUCAAAGCCAGCCUCGGCAAUAGCACUACACUAAGCAACUCAGUGAGACUCUGUCUCUA
rnacentral:sRNA from 1 species